rnacentral:lncRNA from 1 species
UCCAGUUCUUUAGAAUUGUAGACCCACAUAUUCAGGUAUGGUUGCUCUCUAUCGGCAUAUUGUGUUUUCCUUGGUUGCUCUUUUAUUGCUUGGAAGACCAAGAAACCGACAACUGUCUCUCGGCAUCUUGCUGAUUUUCACAUGAAGGAGGAAACUCGAUUACAACAUGUCUUUUUUCUCCAAAUUCAGUAUUUAGGAUCCACCAUGAGUUUGAGGGGGUGUCAAGUGUUCUGUUAUUAACAUAUUGUGUACGUUUUCUUUUGCUUAUUUCCAUAUGUGUUAUUAGCAUAUUAUUCUGUCCAAGGGCUCCUUUGCAAUAUAUAAGUCUUUUUUCUUGUAACAUUAUUUAUUUUGUAUUUAUUCUUAGAUUUGUUAGGCUGCCAAUUUUGCAUGUCCUGCAUAUCUUCUUUUUGCCAAAUAGAGUGAUGAACAUGUUUUUGAGGUUUACUCUAAUUUGUUAUGUCCGAAUCCUGUCAUCUUGUUUAAGUACAUAUAGUUAAUCAAUUGUAUCGAAUCCACGCAAAAGUAAGAAAGAUUUUCUUCACGAGAUGCCCAUAAUCACACCAGGCAACCAUUGCAUGAGUUCAACUCAUAACAUUUUAAGACCACUAUAAAUGCUGGUGAAUCAAUUUGAGAUUGUUACAACAUUGUGUGAGGUGCAUGUUUCAUCAGAAAACCUUGUUUAUUUGCAAACCAUUUAGUUGUUUUGACCGUAUUUUUUUUUGUUUUAAAAUGGAGAAAUAUAACAUUGAUGACAUUAGUUAGUUAAAAUAUACGUUUCAUUCUUUUAUGACGCGGCAUUAUGUGAUACCUGGUGUGAUAUUUUUUGAAAAACCUGAGAAAGAUAGUGUUGUAGUAAAAUAAAACUCCUAUAUGGGCCGGACCGUAAAUCUUAAGUGACGAUGACUAGGUCAACAUUUCCCAACGUGAGUCAAGGUGCCAACGUGGCGUAGUCAAUCCUAUGUGUCAAAAAAAGUCAAAAAGUCAAGCCUCUCAUGUCAUGGUCAAAUGGUGGAAUGAGCUAGAGUAGGGGGCAAGAAAGAUGUAAGCAUGAGGCUUUUGGUCCAUGAUGGAUCAUGGACCAACCCCCACUUUUUCCACUUGGUGCACAC